rnacentral:rRNA from 1 species
AAUAACUCGCCAGAGAACUACUAGCAAAUGCUUAAAACUCAAAGGACUUGGCGGUGCCCUAAACCCAUCUAGAGGAGCCUGUUCUAUAAUCGAUAAACCCCGAUAUACCUCACCUUCUUUUGCCAAUACAGUCUAUAUACCGCCAUCGUCAGCUCACCCCACAGGGGACAAAAAGUAAGCAUAACUAUUACCCAUAAAAACGUUAGGUGCAAGGUGUAACAUAUAAGAAGGCAAAGAAUAUGGGCUACAAUUCUCUAUAUUUAGAGAACAACGAAUUCAUCUUAUGAAAUAUAAAAUGUUUGAAGGAGGAAUUCAGUANUAAACUAAGNNAAAAGGAGCCGGUAUCAGGCACACUAUAAGUAGCCCACAACACCUUGCUAAACCACACCCCCACGGGAAACAGCAGUGACUAACAUUAAGCUAUAAACGAAAGUUUGACUAAGUCAUAAUUAUUUUAGGGUUGGUAAAUUUCGUGCCAGCCACCGCGGUCAUACGAUUAACCCAAAUUAAUAGACCAACGGCGUAAAGCGUGUUUAAACUAUUAUUUCCAAUAAAGUUAAUACUUAACUAAACUGUAAUAAGUUGUUGUUAAUACUAAAAUACACUACCAAAGUGACUUUACUUAUGUUGAACACACGACAGCUAAGGCAC